UACAGAGGUCCCAAGCGAUGUUCGGAUUCACUGGGCGUAAAGGGUGCGUAGGCGGUCGGGUAAGUCUGAUGUGAAAUCUCACAGCUUAACUGUGAAACUGCAUUGGAUACUAUCCGGCUCGAGGAAUGGAGGGGAGACUGGAAUACUUGGUGUAGCAGUGAAAUGCGUAGAUAUCAAGUGGAACACCAGUGGCGAAGGCGAGUCUCUGGACAUUUCCUGACGCUGAGGCACGAAAGCCAGGGGAGCAAACGGG
rnacentral:rRNA from 1 species